AACGAACGCUGGCGGCAUGCCUAACACAUGCAAGUCGAGCGCCCGUAGCAAUACGGGAGCGGCGCACGGGUGAGUAACGCGUGGGAACCUGCCCAGAGGUCUGGGACAACCGCGGGAAACUGCGGCUGAUACCGGAUGAUUCCUGAGGGACAAAGAUUUACCGCCUUUGGAGGGGCCCGCGUCGGAUUAGGUAGUUGGUGGGGUAACGGCUCACCAAGCCUAUGAUCCGUAACUGGUCUGAGAGGAUGACCAGUCACACUGGGACUGAGACACGGCCCAGACUCCUACGGGAGGCAGCAGUGGGGAGUAUUGGACAAUGGGGGGCAACCCUGAUCCAGCAAUGCCGCGUGGGUGAUGAAGGCCUUCGGUU
rnacentral:rRNA from 1 species